rnacentral:misc_RNA from 1 species
GCAUUUGUGAGCCAAAAGUGCGAAGCGCCUACGCGGGGAAAUCAGUCCACUGGACUGAUUUCUGAUCCCGCUUCGAUGCGUCGGAUAAUGCGACAAAACAAAUGCUUGGAGUCGCUUUAACCGGCGUAUUUCAGGCGAAGGCCGGAAAUGCCGACCGCUGCGUUAAGGCCCUUCUGGCCCUG